rnacentral:rRNA from 1 species
UCGAGAAUCUUCGGCAAUGGGCGAAAGCCUGACCGAGCGAUGCCGCGUGCGGGAUGAAGGCCCUCGGGUUGUAAACCGCUGUCGUAGAGGAGAAAGGUCUCGUGAAGAGCGAGAUUUGAUCUAUUCUAGGAGGAAGUCGGGGCUAAGUUCGUGCCAGCAGCCGCGGUAACACGAACCCGACGAACGUUAUUCGGAAUUAUUGGGCUUAAAGGGUGCGUAGGCGGUGCGGUAAGUGCGGUGUGAAAGCCCUCGGCUCAACCGAGGAAUUGCGCUGCAUACUGCCGUGCUGGAGGGAGACAGGGGUAAGCGGAACUGAUGGUGGAGCGGUGAAAUGCGUUGAUAUCAUCAGGAACACCGGUGGCGAAAGCGGCUUACUGGGUCUUCUCUGACGCUGAGGCACGAAAGCUAGGGUAGCGAACGGGAUUAGAUACCCCGGUAGUCCUAGCCGUAAACGAUGAGCACUUGAUUGAGGGCCCCCCCAUAGGCUCUCGAUCGCA